rnacentral:rRNA from 1 species
UACAGAGGUCUCAAGCGUUGUUCGGAUUCAUUGGGCGUAAAGGGUGCGUAGGCGGCUUGUCGCGUCGUCCGUGAAAACCUGCGGCUCAACUGCAGGCUGGCGGUCGAUACGGGCAGGCUGGAGUUCGGUAGGGGAGACUGGAAUUCCUGGUGUGAGCGGUGGAAAUGACGCAGAUAUCAGGAGGAACACCGGUGGCGAAGGCGGGUCUCUAGGCCGAUACUGACGCUGAGGAGCGAAAGCGUGGGGAGCAAACAGG